rnacentral:tRNA from 1 species
GGCGAAGACUGGCAGCGGGCGCAGGCCUUGUUGCUGAAGUGCUUCGAUCAAGGCUUCGAUGGGUUUGGUUUCGCCGCUCUGGACGAGGGCGCGGUAGAAGGCGAUGGCUACGGUCGGGGGUUCAAAUCCCUCCUCCGCUACCA